rnacentral:rRNA from 1 species
UACGUAGGGGGCAAGCGUUGUCCGGAAUCAUUGGGCGUAAAGAGCGUGUAGGCGGCUUGGCAAGUCUCGCGUGAAAUCCUGCGGCUCAACCGCAGACGGUCGCGGGAAACUGCCUCGCUAGAGUCCGGAAGAGGAGAGUGGAAUUCCUGGUGUAGCGGUGGAAUGCGCAGAUAUCAGGAAGAACACCCGUGGCGAAGGCGGCUCUCUGGGACGGUACUGACGCUGAGACGCGAAAGCGUGGGGAGCGAACAGG